AUCGCUUCUUGGCCUUUUGGCUAAGAUCAGGUGUAGUAUCUGUUCUUAUCAGUUUAAAAUAUAAGGCUAAGAUUCAGUGACGACAGAAAAUUAAAUUAUGUGGAUUUGAAAAGAGAGGUGACAAUUG
rnacentral:snRNA from 1 species